rnacentral:rRNA from 1 species
AAGUCGUAACAAGGUUUCCGUAGGUGAACCUGCGGAAGGAUCAUUACCGAGUGAGGGCCCUCUGGGUCCAACCUCCCACCCGUGUUUAUUUUACCUUGUUGCUUCGGCGGGCCCGCCUUAACUGGCCGCCGGGGGGCUUACGCCCCCGGGCCCGCGCCCGCCGAAGACACCCUCGAACUCUGUCUGAAGAUUGUAGUCUGAGUGAAAAUAUAAAUUAUUUAAAACUUUCAACAACGGAUCUCUUGGUUCCGGCAUCGAUGAAGAACGCAGCGAAAUGCGAUACGUAAUGUGAAUUGCAAAUUCAGUGAAUCAUCGAGUCUUUGAACGCACAUUGCGCCCCCUGGUAUUCCGGGGGGCAUGCCUGUCCGAGCGUCAUUGCUGCCCUCAAGCACGGCUUGUGUGUUGGGCCCCGUCCUCCGAUCCCGGGGGACGGGCCCGAAAGGCAGCGGCGGCACCGCGUCCGGUCCUCGAGCGUAUGGGGCUUUGUCACCCGCUCUGUAGGCCCGGCCGGCGCUUGCCGAUCAACCCAAAUUUUUAUCCAGGUUGACCUCGGAUCAGGUAGGGAUACCCGCUGAACUUAAGCAUAUCAAUAAGCGGAGGA